rnacentral:rRNA from 1 species
CGGGACGCUGCAGCAGUGGGGUAUUUUGCGCAAUGGGGGAAACCCUGACGCAGCAAUACCGCGUGAGUGAAGAAGGCCUUUGGGUCGUAAAGCUCUUUUCUUGGGGAAGAUAGUGACGGUACCCAAGGAAUAAGCACCGGCUAACUCCGUGCCAGCAGCCGCGGUAAUACGGAGGGUGCAAGCGUUGUUCGGAUUUACUGGGCGUAAAGGGCACGUAGGCGGCACAGCAAGUUAAGGGUGAAAUCCCGGGGCUCAACUCCGGAACUGCUCUUAAAACUGCUGAGCUAGAGAUAGUCAGAGGCGGGUGGAAUUCCAGGUGUAGAGGUGAAAUUCGUAGAUAUCUGGAGGAACACCGGUGGCGAAGGCGGCCCGCUGGGGCUAUUCUGACGCUAAGGUGCGAAAGCGUGGGGAGCAAACGGGAUUAGAUACCCUCGUAGUC